UAUUGCUGCAACCCUCUCCAAGAUGGGCACAAAACUAAGGAAGGUCUGCAGACGGGCUGUUGAGAGGACGAGACGACAAAAAGGACAAAAAGGACGGCUCAUCGGUGGACGGCGGCAAUUUGUUGUAAUUGAUGAGUCAUUUCCGCCAUAAGAGAAAGUAUGGGAGAGGAAGAGUGGGUGGCAUGGAGAAGACGGAAAUGGGUCUUCGGCGUGCUUGGUGUGCAGCAGCAGAGGAGCAAGAGAGCGAAGCCGGUGCUGCGCCUUGUAGAAAGAAGAGGACCUUGUCCCACUGAAUGCACAUCAUUACCAGGAGGAGCUCUUCUUUCUGAGGGUGAACAAGAUCCUCUGAUUCCUCCACCUCGCGGUGCCUUUUGGAGAGUGACUUCUUUGUUGCUGCUGGCUGAAUGAUUGCUCAUUCAUUCCUCCAUGAUGGGCCGGGCCUUGGAGGACUCAGCCCAGCUGUUCUGCAUGUGCUCUUUGGUGGAAGCCCAGAAGAAGUCAUGAUGAAAAUAUCAAGGACUGUGCUGACCUCGAUAUCCGCAAGACAGUCAAAGUGCUGGAGGGUACAGAAGAAUUGUCAUCUGAAGGAAAGAACAAUACUAAUGAGUUGUCACUGUCUUGGGAUUUGCCUCAAGUCACAUGUGAGAACAGAAGAUGCUGCUGGACAAGCUGAUGCUCCACGCAGUGAGUAUUCUCAUCUGUACUUUAACAGAUCAUUUAAACCAGAC
ensembl:lncRNA